rnacentral:rRNA from 1 species
ACGCUGGGGCGUGCUUAAACAUGCAAGUCGAGUGCGCGCCUGUAGCAAUACAGGUGGCGCACGGCGCACGGGUGCGUAACACGUGGGCAAUCUGCCCUUCGAUGGGGAAUAACCCCGGGAAACCGGGGCUAAUUCCGCAUAACAUUCCUUGGACUUCGGUUCGAGGACUCAAAGCCGUAAGGCGUCGAUGGAGGAGCCCGCGCACGAUUAGCUAGUUGGUAGGGUAACGGCCUACCAAGGCUUUGAUCGUUAGCUGGUCUGAGAGGAUGGCCAGCCACACUGGAACUGAGACACGGUCCAGACUCCUACGGGAGGCAGCAGUGGGGAAUCUUGCACAAUGGGCGAAAGCCUGAUGCAGCGACGCCGCGUGGGGGAUGAAGCAUCUCGGUGUGUAAACCCCUUUCGACCCGGACGAAUGCCUCGCAAGAGGACUGACGGUACGGGUAUAAGAAGCCCCGGCUAACUACGUGCCAGCAGCCGCGGUAAGACGUAGGGGGCCAGCGUUGUUCGGAAUUACUGGGUGUAAAGGGUUCGUAGGCGGUGUGGCAAGUCGGGAGUGAAAUCUCUGGGCUUAACUCAGAGGCUGCUUCCGAAACUGCUGUGCUU